rnacentral:rRNA from 1 species
UACGUAGGGUGCAAGCGUUAAUCGGAAUUACUGGGCGUAAAGCGUGCGCAGGCGGUCUUGCAAGACAGAUGUGAAAUCCCCGGGCUCAACCUGGGAACUGCAUUUGUGACUGCAAGGCUGGAGUGCGGCAGAGGGGGAUGGAAUUCCGCGUGUAGCAGUGAAAUGCGUAGAUAUGCGGAGGAACACCGAUGGCGAAGGCGACUACCUGGACCAGCACUGACACUGAGGCACGAAAGCGUGGGGAGCAAACAGG